UACAGAGGAUGCAAGCGUUAUCCGGAAUGAUUGGGCGUAAAGCGUCUGUAGGUGGCUUUUUAAGUCCGCCGUCAAUCCCAGGGCUCAACUCUGGACAGGCGGUGGAAACGUACCAAGCUUGAGUACGGUGAGGGGCAGAGGGAAUUCCGGUGGAGCGGUGAAAUGCGUAGAGAUCGGAAAGAACACCAACGGCGAAAGCAG
rnacentral:rRNA from 1 species